AUUGAACGCUGGCGGCAGGCCUAACACAUGCAAGUCGAGCGGAUGAAGGGAGCUUGCUCCUGGAUUCAGCGGCGGACGGGUGAGUAAUGCCUAGGAAUCUGCCUGGUAGUGGGGGAUAACGUCCGGAAACGGGCGCUAAUACCGCAUACGUCCUGAGGGAGAAAGUGGGGGAUCUUCGGACCUCACGCUAUCAGAUGAGCCUAGGUCGGAUUAGCUAGUUGGUGGGGUAAAGGCCUACCAAGGCGACGAUCCGUAACUGGUCUGAGAGGAUGAUCGGUCACAGGGGAACAGAAACAGGGCCCAGCCUCAUAGGGGGGGAGCCGGGGGGGAAUUUGGGACAAGGGGGGAAGGCCGGACCCACCAAUGCGGGGUGGGAAAAGAGGGUUUUGGAAUUUAAAACAAUUUUAAGUGGGGAGAAAGGGAAAAAAGUUAAUACCUUCCUUUUUGCACUUACCAAAAAAAAAAGACACGGGCAAACUUGGUC
rnacentral:rRNA from 1 species